UACAGAGGUCUCAAGCGUUGUUCGGAUUCAUUGGGCGUAAAGGGUGUGUAGGUGGCGCGCUAAGUCGGGUGUGAAAUUCGGAGCUUAACUCCGAAACUGCAUUCGAUACUGCGUGCUUGAGGACUGGAGAGGAGACUGGAAUUCAUGGUGUAGCAGUGAAAUGCGUAGAGAUCAUGAGGAAGACCAGUGGCGAAGGCGGGUCUCUGGACAGUUCCUGACACUGAGGCACGAAGGCCAGGGGAGCGAACGGG
rnacentral:rRNA from 1 species